CAGCAGCCGCGGGAAUACGAAGGGUGCAAGCGUUAAUCGGAAUUACUGGGCGUAAAGCGUGCGUAGGCGGUUUGUUAAGUCUGCUGUGAAAUCCCCGGGCUCAACCUGGGAAUGGCAGUGGAUACUGGCAAGCUAGAGUGUGUCAGAGGAUGGUGGAAUUCCCGGUGUAGCGGUGAAAUGCGUAGAGAUCGGGAGGAACAUCAGUGGCGAAGGCGGCCAUCUGGGACAACACUGACGCUGAGGCACGAAAGCGUGGGGAGCAAACAGGAUUAGAUACCCGAGUAGUCCCUGUCUCUUAUAC
rnacentral:rRNA from 1 species